GGAGAGGUGGCCGAGUGGCCGAAGGCAACGGUUUGCUAAACCGUCACAGGGUCAAAAGCCUUGUCGCGGGUUCAAAUCCCGCCCUCUCCGCCA
rnacentral:tRNA from 1 species